rnacentral:pre_miRNA from 1 species
UUUAUACUUCCUCCGUCCGAAAAUACUUGUCCUCAAAAUGAAUAAAAUGGAUGUAUCUAUAACUAAAAUAAGUCUAGAUACAUCCAUUUCUAGGACAAGUAUUUCCAGACGGAGGGAGUACAUA